rnacentral:rRNA from 1 species
GACGAACGCUGACGGCGCGCUUAACACAUGCAAGUCGAGCGAUGAAAUUUCGACAGAUCCCUUCGGGGUGAAGAUGAAAUGGAUUAGCGGCGGACGGGUGAGUAACACGUGAGUAACCUGCCUUAGACAUUGGGAUAGCCUCGGGAAACCGGGAUUAAUACCAAAUGAAAUCACAUAUGCACAUGCAUAAAUGAUCAAAGCUCCGGCGGUCUAAGAUGGACUCGCGUCCCAUUAGCUAGUUGGUGAGGUAACGGCCCACCAAGGCGACGAUGGGUAGCCGGCCUGAGAGGGUGAACGGCCACAUUGGAACUGAGAAACGGUCCAAACUCCUACGGGAGGCAGCAGUGGGGAAUAUUGCACAAUGGAGGGAACUCUGAUGCAGCGACGCCGCGUGAACGAAGAAGGCUUUCGAGUCGUAAAGUUCUUUUAUAUGGGAAGAUAAUGACGGUACCAUAAGAAAAAGCCCCGGCUAACUACGUGCCAGCAGCCGCGGUAAUACGUAGGGGGCUAGCGUUGUCCGGAAUCACUGGGCGUAAAGGGUUCGCAGGCGGAAAUGCAAGUCAGGUGUAAAAGGCAGUAGCUUAACUACUGUAAGCAUUUGAAACUGCAUAUCUUGAGAAGAGUAGAGGUAAGUGGAAUUUUUAGUGUAGCGGUGAAAUGCGUAGAUAUUAAAAAGAAUACCGGUGGCGAAGGCGACUUACUGGGCUCAUUCUGACGCUGAGGAACGAAAGCGUGGGUAGCAAACAGG